rnacentral:tmRNA from 1 species
GGGGAUGAUACGGUUUCGACGGGGGUUUUGAAGGCAGGAUAAGCGAGCUGUGGACCAGGACCACAAUAAAACUUGGAAUAAAAAUUAACUGACAAUUCUUACGAAUUGGCCGCUGCCUAAUUAGGCGGCGCGUCGGCCCGGGUUGCCCACUCGCCCGGAUACCGGCGUCAUGAGAGCGGGGAACGAGCAUACCUAAGCUUUGCCGUAUGUCCGUAACAUGAAGCUACUGAAGCUGCCAGUCUGUCUGUGGACGGACAGCGGAGGGAAUGUCAAAACACAGACUGCGCUCGGAGAAGGUCCUGCAGGCAUGCUUUCGGACAGGAGUUCGACUCUCCUCAUCUCCAU